UAUAUUUCGGUUGUCAUUGACUACAAAAUGGAAGCAAAGAACUCAAGGUAAAUAGAUGGUAAAUGAUAAAGCUACGGAAUAUUUUUUCCAUAGUGUUACAUCAACUAUAUUCUCACUGCAUAAGGAAAGACAUCUUUCAAGUCAUUAUCAAACUUAUACAAAAUCCUAUCAUCUUAAGCUGACAAAUUAGAAAAUAAUACCUUUUAUCUUUCAACACUAUGUUCGUACACAGUUUCUUUCUAGUCCCAAUUGGCAUUGUCUUGACAAUCACAUGUAGAAGCCCGAUGAUUUCUUAAAAAAAAUUACUAUUAUAAAUGUUGGAAUUUAUAUUAUAUGAUAUUAUAUUUGUUGGUAUCAUGGAAACAUAUAUGUUUAGUUUUUUUGAAUAAGAAAAAGAGAUGCAAAGUUUGUUACAAUAUAAAGGUGGAAUAUAUAUAUAUAUAUAUAAAUAUAUAUAUAUAUAUAUAUAUAUGUGUUUGUGUGUGUGUGUGUGUGUGUGUGGCAUUUCAAAUGAGAGGAGUGAUUAUUAUGAGAGAUGAGAGGACUUAAUAAUAACCAUUGGAUCUAAACUAAUCAUGUUACUUCAUCAAUAGCUAUGCGGUCAAUUAAAACAAAAAAACACAGCUCUUCGUGUUUCCUCUACACACGCUUCUCAAUGCAAUUUGUACAUAACCCUUUAGCUGGCGAUGGCGAUGACGAUGCUUACUGCUUUUGUUAGAAGAUUUCUAUGGCCACCUAAAUCAUACAUACCCCAAUUGAAUGUUUUUUUUUAUUUUCCAUUUUCGUGAUUCGUUUCUUAUCAAUUGAUUAAAUUUUUUAAAAAUGGUUAAAUUAAGUUGGAUUUGAACAAUAGUAGAACUAAACUAUAAUUUCACUCUUAACCAAAUCAGCUUGUGAUUAUUUGUUAGUCUUCUACGAAAUUACUCUAACUAAUUGGAAUUUCUCUCCCAAAGCUAUCAUAAUCUUUCUUUUCUUUGACAAAAUCUUAUUAUGUUUUCUUUCUAUUGAACCUAAAUUGAGGGAGAGGAAAUAAAUGAAUAGAAGAACCUUGAAGAGAUCCUUUCUAUAGAGAGAAAAAUCAAGGAAGAAAAAUACAUAGAAGAGUUAAAAAGAGCAGUCACUUAUGGCUUAUGCAAUAGACAGAGAACGAGAUAAGGGAAAUGGAGAAAGCUAAUUUACUCUUAAGAGGUGCAGUAAAGGAGUGCUACCUCAAAAUUUUAUAAAAAUAAUCUACAAUUUUGAAGAAAAGACAUCUACAAUUUUACUUUUUUUUUAGGGAUCUAGACCUUUUUUGAAGAAAAGACAUCUACAAUUUUACUCUUUUUUUUAACCAAAAAAGAGGUGCAGCAAAGGACUCCUACCUCAAAAUUUUAUAAAAAUAAUCAUACGCAUUAUGCAACACCAAAAAAAAUUAUACGCAGUAGCGUAACAAAAAAACAGACACACAUAAAGUAUUACUCUAAACACUAAUGUGUGUGUGUAUUUGUGAGGUUGAAGAAAGAAAAUAAAAAUAUUUGGUAUCAUCAAAUGACAGCGUGAAUAAAAAUAUUUGAGAGGUUGUGAUGAUUAAACGAUAUUGAAAUUAAAUAUAUAAAUGAUAAAAAGAUAAUAAAAUUCCUUUGAAUAAAAGGUAAUAAAAUUAAAUGGGACCUCCUUAAAAAAAAUUAAAUGCAACGGUUCAAAAAAAAAAUGGUAGAUUUAUAUAAAAUUCCUUAGAAAAAAUCGUAUUGAAAUAUAAUAUUAAAAAAUAAAAGAAAAGCUUCCCAACGUGAACUGUAGAGAGAUACUUGUGAAAUAAAUCGUUGAGAAGUAGAUUUUUGAAGUAGCAUUCAACAACUUUUGGCCAAAGCUCAUUCAAUUCAAUUUUAUGCAUUAAAAAAAGUACAUUUUUUAGUAAGUACUUAAUUGAUAUUGUAUUUGGCCUAACUUCUCCUUAAAAAUGUAGAAUAGUUGGAAAAAAAAACCGGGUCAAACGAUAUCUUAUUCGCCCACAACGGCAGUGUAGAAGCAACUGAAUUUGGGAGAAAAAAAUUGAAAAAUAGUUAAAAAUAAAAAAUUAUAAAAUAGUUAAAAGUUUUUAAAAAUAUUAAAAUUGGAAAAUAGAUAAAAAAAAAUUGGUGAGGUAGCACUCAACCAAGCAACACUAAAAAAAUUAUAUGCAUUAGUAACAAAAAAACAGACAGACGGACAUAAAAUAUUACUCUAAACGUUAAUAUGUGUGUAUAUUCGCGAGUUUGAAGAAAUGAAAUAAAAAUAUUUGGAAUCAUUAAAUGACAGGGUGAAUAAAAAUAUUUGUGAGGUUGUGAUGAUUAAACGAUAUUGAAAUUAAAUAUAUAAGUGAUAAAAAGAUAAUAAAAUUUCUUUGAAAAAAGAUAAAAUUAAAUGGAACGGUUGAAAAAAAUAAACUUAAGUGGAAGAAAAAAACAUAUUGAAAUAUAAUAUUAAAAAAAUAAAGAAAAGAUUCCCGGCGUGAGUUGAAAAGAGGUGUUUGUGAAAUAAAUUGUCGAGAAGUAGUUUUUUAAAGUAACAUUCAACAAUUUCUGGUCAAAGCUCAUUCCAUUCAAUUUUAUGCGUUCAAAAAAGUACUUUUUUAAGUAAGUACUUCUCCUUACUAAUUGAUAUUGUGUUUGGCCUAACUUUUCCUUAAAAAUGUAGCGAAGUUCGAAAAAAGUCGGGUCAAACGAUACCUUAAUCUCCCACAACGGCAAUGUAGAAGCAACUGAAUUUGGGAGAAAAAAUUGAAAAAUAGUUAAAAAUAAAAAAAUUGGAAAAUAAUUAAAAGUUAUUUAAAUUAUAAAAAUUAGAACAUAAUUAAAAAAAAUUGUUUAGGGGAAAAAAUGGAAAUUCUUAGGUCAUAGUUCAAAAAAAAAAAACUUAACCAAUAAGUAGAUUACCAAAUUGCCCCUUAUAGGGGCAAAAUGGUAAAUCCAUGGGACAUUUCUUUUAAUAUAAGUAUAUAUAUUAAAAGGGAGUUAAGUGUAAUAAUGGGAAGUUGAGAAGGAAGUUAAGAAAAGAGAAGUUAGAAAGCAUUGUACGUAGAAACUGUCAAGUUGGGAGAAAAUGGAGAGAAGAGCAAGUAGAACCCAGGAACCAAAUUGCUGUGCAUUUCUUCUGCAAAUUUAAGGUAAAGGUGAGGUUUGCUUCAGUAGUAUAGAUGUUAAUUUCUGAUUUUGAGUUUAACAGAGUUUUUGGUGAGAAUUGGGAUUUUGGGUUUUGUGAUGAAAUGAUGAUUUUAGGGUAGAGAUUGUUGUUCUAAUGUAAGAAUUAGGUUCUAGUUGUAGACAGCACUUAGUUUUACAUCUGUUAACUAAUUUGGGGAGUGAAUUGAAGAAAAAUGGGAUUUUGGGGAAAAACCUGUUUUCUGCCCGUACAGAAGUUCAUCGCUCGCCUCGCGAGUAGCUUGUGCUCGCCACGCAAGUGAGCAACUUCAUGGCUCGCCUCGCGAGCAGACCAACUCGCCGUGGCGAGUAACCCAGAUCAAAACUUGAUUUUUAAAUUGUUGUUAUAAGAUAUUUUGGGGAUAGUUUAAUGUGCCUAAGUGAUUAUAAAGAGGACUGGAGCAAGUUUUAGAUUAAAAAGAUGAAUAGGGAGCUUAGAAUUGAAGUUUGAGUGAGAAAAAUGUCAAAACUCCCGAGAGCCCCAUAUUUUCACUCGCCUCGAGUUCGCCUUGAACUCGCCAUUGCGAGUAACUUGUUUUGCGAGCUCGCCAUAGCGAGCAUAUGUGCUCGCGAGGCGACCUACCCAGUUUUGUGUGCUGAUUUUAUUUAUAUGAAUGGUAGUGAUUGAUGUUGAUGUUUUGGGCAUAGUUAUGUUUAAUUGUGCAUUGUUCUGGAUUGUUGAACCACUGUUUGAUGAUGUUGCUGAUGGCUGUAAUGUAUGCUAUAAUUAUUGAAUCAUACAUGUUGUAUAAAUUGGAGUCAUAUGAAGAAUGUAUGCAUGGUCAAGUUGUAUGUAGAUAUACACAAGUAGGUCCAUAGCAUAUGCAUAAACAGCGGGAGGACUCAUGUCCUAGAGCACUAGUUGUUCACAGCGGGGAGGGCUUCGGUCCUGAUGAAUGCUUUAACCAUUCAAAAGCGGUGAGGGCUUCGGUCCUGUUUGUUACCACAUGCAUAUCUGCAUUAUUGAGGGGUCUUAGUGGUGUUGUCAUGUCAUGCAUGAGUCUUGGUUGAGGGUUGUAAUUGCCAUAUUGAUGAUGUUGACGAUUUUGUUUGAUGAGUACAUAUUUAUACAUAUAUGAUGAUGAAUUGACUUGAUGGUGAUGUUGUUGUUGCUUUGUGAAAUAUAUAAUUAUAUUUACAAGAUGAUAUAUUGAUGUUUAUAGGGAGUUAGAUUCAAUUGAUGAUUUUAAUAUCUAUAUUUUAUUGUUGUGAAUCUCACCCCUUCUGCUUGAAAACGUUGCCCUUCCUAUGGGUAACUUGCAGGUGAUCCUGAGUAGUCGGUGGUGGCUCAAGUGUCGUGUCUAGGGCUCUGAUACGUGGGAUGAGAAUUAUUAAUGUUUUCUUUCCUAUGUAUCUUAUUUUGGAACUUGAUGUUAUGGCCUUAUGUUGGUUGAUUAUGUUGUUGAGGCUUUAUGCCAGAUUAUUAUUUUUGGAGUUUUAAACAAUUGUUGUUUGUUGAUGAUAUUAUUCCGCUGCUGAAUAAAUGUUGAUUUCUAUGGAUGUUUCAUAAAUAGAUUUUCUUAUAUUCAAUUUAAGAAAUUUUGAAAAUGUAGUGUGACAUGACCGUUUAGGUUUUACUCUGAUGUUGAAUUAAUUAUUAUUUAAUUAUUUUUGGGUAACGGGGUGUUACAAUUGGUAUCAGAGCAGGUUGGUCCAUCCGGCCACGUAGUAGAGUCGUGUUGAGCCACCUAGGAUAGAGUGUCAACUUUAAUGUUGCUUUUGUUGUUGUUCUGAGUUGUUGUUUCUUAUGUAGAACCUCGAGAUGACUGGUAGUACUGAUGCUGCUCUUGUUGCUGCGCUUGAGGCUCUAGCUCAAGCUGUCCAACAGCAACCGAAAGCUGAAGCUGGUAGUGAUGGGACUAGAAUGUUGGAGACUUUCUUAAGGAAUCAUCCACCAACAUUCAAAGGUAGAUAUGAUCCUGAUGGUGCUCAGAAAUGGCUGAAGGAGGUUGAAAGAAUUUUCAAGGUCAUGUAGUGUUCAGAGACACAGAAGGUACGGUUUGGGACGCACAUGUUAGCAGAAGAGGCUGACGACUGGUGGGUUAGCAUGUUGCCUAUUCUGGAGCAGGAUGGAGUUGUGGUAACAUGGGCUAUGUUCAGAAAGGAUUUUCUGAGUAUGUACUUCCCGGAAGAUGUCCGAGGUAAGAAGGAGAUUGAAUUUCUGGAAUUGAAACAAGGUGAUAUGUCCGUUACGGAAUAUGCUGCUAAGUUCGUGGAACUUGUUAAGUUCUACCCUCAUUACAGUGCGGAGACAGCUGAAUUCUCCAAGUGUAUCAAGUUUGAAAAUGGGUUGAGGGCUGAUAUCAAAAGAGCUAUUGGGUAUCAGAAGAUUAGAGUUUUCUCUGAGUUGGUAAGCAGCUGCGGGAUUUAUGAGGAAGACACAAAAGUUCAUUACAAGGUGAUGAGUGAGAGGAGAGGUAAGGGACAGCAGAAUCGUCCUAAACCUUACAGUGCUCCUGCUGACAAAGGGAAACAGAGAAUGAAUGAUGAUAGGAGGCUUAAGAGGAGAGAUGCUCCUGCUGAAAUUGUUUGUUAUAAGUGUGGUGAAAAAGGCCACAAAAGCAAUGCUUGUGGUAGAGAUGAGAGGAAGUGUUUCAGGUGUGGUCAGAAAGGACAUACACUAGCUGAAUGUAAGCGUGAGGACAUUGUCUGCUACAACUGCAACGAAGAAAGUCAUAUCAGUUCAUAGUGUACUCAGCCGAAGAAGGCUAGGACCGGUGGGAAAGUGUUUGCAUUGACUGGUACGCAGACUACCAAUGAGGACCGACUUAUCAGAGGUACUUGUUUCUUUAAUAGUAAUCCUUUAAUUGCUAUUAUAGACACUGGUGCUACUCAUUGUUUCAUUGCUUUAGAAAGUGCAUAUAAGUUGGGUUUGAUUGUAUCUGAUAUGAAAGGAGAAAUGGUUGUUGAAACUCCAGCUAAGGGUUCAGUAACUACUUCUCUUGUUUGUUUGAGGUGUCCUAUAUCUAUGUUUGGUAGAGACUUUGUGGUUGAUUUAGUUUGUUUGUCGUUGUCGGGUAUGGAUGUUAUUUUCGGUAUGAAUUGGUUAGAGUAUAAUCCAGUUCAUAUCAACUGCUUUAGUAAGACGGUGCAUUUUUCUUCUGCUGAAGAAGAAGGUGAAGUUGAGUUCUUGUCUACAAAACAGAUGAAACAGCUAGAACGUGAUGGAAUUUUGAUGUAUUCUUUAAUGGCAUAUUUGUCGUUAGAAAAUCAAGUUGUAGUUGACAGGUUACCGGUUGUGAAUGAAUUCCCAGAAGUGUUUCCUGAUGUGCCACCAGAAAGGGAGGUUGAAUUUUUAAUUGACCUUGUUCCAGGAACAAAGCUGGUGUCGAUGGCACCUUACCGUAUGUCAGCUUCUGAGUUAGCUGAAUUGAAGAAACAGUUGGAGGACUUGCUUGAUAAGAAGUUUGUAAGACCAAGUGUUUCACCUUGGGGAGCGCCGGUGUUGUUAGUUAAGAAGAAGGAUGGUAGCAUGAGGUUGUGCAUUGACUACCGUCAGUUGAACAAAGUUACGAUAAAGAAUAGGUAUCCACUUCCGAGAAUUGAUGACUUGAUGGAUCAGUUAGUGAGUGCAAAGGUGUUCAGUAAGAUUGAUUUGAGGUCUGGUUACCAUCAGAUGAAGGUCAAGGAUGAGGAUAUGCAGAAGACGACUUUUAGGACACGAUAUGGUCAUUACGAAUACAAGGUGAUGCCUUUCGGUGUUACUAAUGCGCCUGGUGUGUUUAUGGAAUAUAUGAAUAGGAUUUUCCAUGCUUUUCUGGAUAAAUUUCUAGUUGUGUUUAUUGAUGAUAUUUUAAUCUAUUCCAAGAAUGAAGAGGAGCAUGCAGAGCAUCUGAGAAUUGUAUUGCAAGUUUUGAAAGAAAAGAGGUUGUAUGCAAAGUUGUCAAAAUGUGAAUUCUGGUUAAGUGAAGUGAGUUUUCUGGGUCACAUUAUUUGUGGUAGUGGUAUUGCUGUUGAUCCUUCAAAAGUUGAUGCAGUAUCACAAUGGGAGACUCCGAAGUCAGUAACUGAAAUCAGAAGCUUUUUGGGUUUGGCUGGUUAUUAUUGCAGGUUCAUAGAAGGUUUUUCAAAAUUGGCACUUCUGUUGACUCAGUUGACCUGUAAGGGUAAAUCUUUUGUGUGGGAUGCUCGGUGUGAGAGUAGUUUCAAUGAGUUGAAGCGAAGAUUGACGACUGCUCCUAUUUUGAUUCUACCUAAACCAGAAGAACUGUUUGUUGUUUACUGUGAUGCAUAUAAGCUGGGCUUAGGUGGUGUUCUAAUGCAAGAUGGUAAGGUGGUAGCAUAUGCUUCUAGGCAAUUGAGGAUUCAUGAGAAGAAUUAUCCUACGCAUGAUCUGGAGUUGGCUGCGGUGGUAUUUGUUUUAAAAAUUUGGAGGCAUUACUUGUACGGUUCCAGAUUUGAGGUGUUCAGUGAUCAUAAGAGUUUGAAAUAUUUGUUUGAUCAGAAGGAAUUGAACAUGAGGCAGAGGAGAUUGUUAGAACUACUGAAGGAUUAUGAUUUUGGCUUGAAUUACCAUCCUAGUAAGGCCAAUGUGGUUGCUGAUGCAUUGAGGAGGAAAACAUUGCAUAUGUCUGCUUUGAUGGUAAAGGAAUUUGAGUUGCUAGAGCAGUUUAGGGACUUGAGUCUUGUCUGUGAAUUGUCACCUCAGAGUAUACAGUUGGGGAUGAUGAGGAUUGAUAGUGAUUUCUUGAACAGUAUCCGAGAAGCUCAGCAAGUAGAUUUGAAGUUUGUUGAUUUGAUGACUACUGGUAAUGACACUGAGGAUAGUGACUUUAAGGUUGAUGAUCAGGGUGUGCUGAGGUUCAGAGGAAGAUUUUGUAUUCCUGACAAUGAUGAUUUGAAGAAGUUGAUUCUUGAAGAGAGUCACGAUAGUAGUUUGAGUAUUCACCCAGGGGCUAUAAAGAUGUACCAUGAUUUGAAGAAACUGUUUUGGUGGUCCGGUUUGAAACGAGAUGUUGCUCAGUUUGUUUAUGCAUGUUUGACUUGUCAGAAGUCUAAAGUUGAACAUCAGAAGCCUGCAGGAUUGUUGACACCGUUGGAUGUACCGGAGUGGAAAUGAGACAGUAUUUCUAUGGAUUUUGUGACGAGUUUUCCAAACACUCCGAGAGGACAUGAUUCUAUAUGGGUUGUGGUCGAUAGGUUGACAAAGUCGGCACAUUUUAUUCUAUAUGCUUUAGGUUCAAAGUUGAGGUUGAGUUCGGCUUAUCAUCCUCAGACAGAUGGUCAGUCGGAAAGGACGAUCCAAUCAUUGGAGGAUUUGUUAAGAGUGUGUGUGCUUGAGCAAGGUGGAGCUUGGGAUAGUCACCUACCGUUGAUUGAGUUCACUUAUAACAACAGCUAUCAUUCGAGUAUUGGCAUGGCACCGUUCGAAGCUUUGUAUGGUCGGAGGUGCAGGACUCCUUUAUGCUGGUUUGAGUCAGGUGAGAGUGUUGUGUUGGGACCGGAUGUGGUUCAUGAGACGACUGAAAAGGUCAAAAUGAUAAGGGAAAAGAUGAAGGCUUUGCAGAGUCGACAGAAGAGUUACCAUGACAAGCGAAGGAAGGCUCUUGAGUUUCAGGAGGGUGAUCAUGUUUUUCUGAGGGUCACUCCUUUGACGAGUGUACGACGUGCAUUGAAGUCGAGGAAAUUGACUCCAAAGUUCAUUGGUCCGUAUCAGAUUUCAGAGAGAGUUGGAAUAGUGGCUUAUAGAGUUGAUUUGCCCCCACAUCUUUCGAACUUGCAUGAUGUGUUUCAUGUGUCGCAGCUUCGGAAGUAUGUAGCGGAUCCUUCACAUGUGAUUCCAAGAGAUGAUGUACAGGUUAGAGACAACCUGACAGUUGAGACAUUACCGUUGAGAAUUGAUGAUCGGAAGGUGAAGUCUUUGAGAGGUAAAGAGAUACCUCUUGUGAGAGUCGUUUGGGGUGGAGCGACUAGUGAAAGUUUGACUUGGGAGCUGGAGAGUAAGAUCCGGGAGUCGUACCCGAAGUUGUUUGCUUGAGGUAAGAUUUCGAGGACGAAAUUUUAUAAUUUGGGGAGAGUUGUAACGCCUAGUCGAUAUAUUUAUUAUUUUAAUUUAGGCUUAAUUGCACUUUUGGACCCCUAACUUUUCAAAAGUUGCGGUUACGGACCCCUAACUAAUUUAAAUACAAAACAGACCCCUAUGUUUGAAUUCUUUGUUAGUUUUGGACCCCCAGACCAUUUUUUGACUUUUCGUUGCUGACGUGGCACCCACAUCCUAUUAGUGAGGUGCCACGUGUAUUAUUAUUUUUUUCUUUGUUUUUUAAAUUCGUCCUGUUAUUUUUAAUUUGAAAAAAAUUAAAAAUAAAAAAAAAGGAAAAAGGAAAUAGAAAGACUGGUCACGUGCAGGUUGCAAUUGAUGCAACGGUAAGAAAUUAGGGUUCAAAAACCCCCAAUUUCCCAAAUCUGAAAAUCCAUCUCAAAACAUCUUCUCCAAUCAAGUUCUCCUUCUUCAUCUCAUUCAAAUCGAUUUCCUCCUCCUUCUUCUCCAAUCGUUCUCCUUGUUUGUUUCUUCUCAAAUCGAUUUCGUUUGCUCAUCUGGCCUUCUUUUUUUUUCAUCUGAGUCGCAUAACAACACAAGAAGCUUAGUUUUUGCUGGAAACCAAAAAAUGGUUGAAUAUUCAUCUUCUUCGUUUAGUGGGUCAACAUUGAAGCAAAGAACCAAGUUGGUUUGUUUUUGUGGUGUUGAUUCACCAUUGGUGACUACUUGGAUUGAGGAGAAUCCAGGAAGGAGGUUUCACGGCUGUGGGAGGUAUUUUGGCAGAAGAAAAUGCAAUUUUUUUAGGUGGUAUGAUCUUGAGGUACCUGAUAGGCAGAAGAAAAUAAUUCGAACACUGUUGAGGAAGAAUGAUGAAUUGAAGAAGAAAGAAAGAAGUAUUGUAAUUGCCAUGGUUGUGUUAGGAAUGCUUUUGUUCAUGUUUGGCCUUUUAGCUCUAGGGUUAGCUAUGUAACAAGGUUGCUUUUGUUCAUGUAUGUCCUUUUUCCUUUUGUUUUUUAAUUUUUUUCAAAUUUAAAAUAACAGGACGAAUUUAAAAAACAAAGAAAAAAAAAUACACGUGGCACCUCACUAAUGGGAUAUGGGUGCCACGUCAGCAACGAAAAGUCAAAAAAUGGUCUUGGGGUCCAAAACUAACAAAGAAUCCAAACAUAGGGGUCUGUUUUGUAUUUAAAUUAGUUAGGGGUCCGUAACCGCAACUUUUGGAAAGUUAGGGGUCCAAAAGUGCAAUUAAGCCUUUAAUUUAAUUAGAGUCUUAUACGUGAUUUUAAUUAAUAUUUGUGAUGUCAUGUGGUGUGAUAUAUUUUAUUAUAUGGUUGGUUUUAAUAUUAAUUUAAAUAGGUGUGAAAUAAUAAUUAUUUUUGGAGUUUGGGGAGUUAAUAUAAUUUAUUAGAAUUAAGAGGGAGUUAAGUGUAAUAAUGGGAAGUUGAGAAGGAAGUUAAGAAAAGAGACGUUAGAAAGCAUUGUACGUAGAAACUGUCAAGUUGGGAGAAAAGGGAGAGAAGAGCAAGUCUUCUGCAAAUUUAAGGUAAGGGUGAGGUUUGCUUCAGUAGUAUAGAUGUUAAUUUCUGAUUUUGAGUUUAACAGAGUUUUUGGUGAGAAUUGGGAUUUUGGGUUUUGUGAUAAAAUGAUGAUUUUAGGGUAAAGAUUGUUGUUCUGAUGUUAGAAUUAGGUUCUGGUUGUAGACAGCACUUAGUUUUACAUCUGUUAACUAAUUUGGGGAGUGAAUUGAAGAAAAAUGGGAUUUUGGGGAAAAACUUGUUUUCUGCCCGUACAGAAGUUCAUCGCUCGCCUCGCGAGUAGCUUGUGCUCGCCACGCGAGUGAGCAACUUCAUAGCUCGCCUCGCGAGCAGACCAACUCGUCGUGGCGAGUAACCCAGAUCAAAACUUGAUUUUUAAAUUGUUGUUAUAAGAUGUUUUGGGGAUAGUUUAAUGUCCUUAAAUGAUUAUAAAGAGGACUGGAGCAAGUUUUAGAUUAAAAAGAUGAAUAGGGAGCUUAGAAUUGAAGUUUGAGUGAGAAAAAUGUCAAAACUCCCGAGAGCCCCAUAUUUUCACUCGCCUCGAGUUCGCCUUGAACUCGCCAUUGCGAGUAACUUGUUUUGCGAGCUCGCCAUAGCGAGCAGAUGUGCUCGCGAGGCGAGCUACCCAGUUUUGUGUGUUGAUUUUAUUUAUAUGAAUGGGAGAUAAUUCAGUUUUACGUGAAUACAGUCAGUUUUGGGAGAAAAGGGAGAGAAGAGCAAGUAGAGCCAAGGGAAUCGAUUGCUGUGCAUUUCUUUCUGCAAAACUAAGGUAAGGGUGAGGUUUACUUCAAUUGUGUAGAUUCUGAAUUCUGAUUUUGAUUUUAACAGCUUUUUUUUAGAAUUGGAAAUUUUAGGUUUUUGGUGAAUUAUUGGGUUUUGAGUGUAAGAAUUGUUGUCCUGAUGUUAGAAAUAGGUUCUGAGUGCAUACAGCAAGUUAUUACACAUCUGUAAACCAAAUUGGGGAGUGAAAGUGAGAAAAUUGGAUUUUUUGGGAAAAACCUGCAUUCUGGUCGUGCUGAUAUUCAUCGCUCGCCUAAGCGAGUAGACCUUCCCGCCUCGUGAGUGAGCAACUUCAUGGCUCGCCUCGCGAGCAGAACCACUCGCCACGGCGAGCAAGUGCCUGAGAGAUCAUGAUUUUUGAAGUGUUGUUAUAAGCUGUAAAAUGGAUAGUUUUAAGUACCUAGAUGAUUUUUGAGAGGUCUGGGACAAUUUUCAGAUUAAAAAGAUGAAUAGGGAACUUAAAAAUGAAGAUUUAGUGAGAAAAAUGUCAAAACACCCGAGAGCACCUGUUUUGAGUUCGCCUUGAGUUCGCCACGGCAAGCAGCCUUUUUCUUGUGCUCGUCAUAGCGAGUAUAAGUACUCGCGAGGCGAGUUGCCUAGUUUCAGAGUUGAUUGUUAUUUAGUUGAAUAAUGUUGAAUGAUAUUGAUGUUUAAGCCUGAUUAUGAUAAAUUGUGCAUUUUUCUGGGAUGAUUGGAUUGAUUAUGAUGACCUGUUGAUGUCUGUGAUGUAUGUUACAUUAAUUAAAUCAUACAUGGUGUUUAGUUAGCGGAGUUGUAAGUAGAUAUACACAAGUGGAGUUAGUUGCAUAAGCACAAAAGCGGGAGGGCUCCGGCCCUGGAACGCCAUGUCGUUCAAAGUGGUGGAACACUUUGUUGUUCAAAGCGGUGUUUAGCGGUGAGGACUUAGGUCCUGAAAUGAAUGCUUUAACCAUUCUAUUAGCGGUGAGGGCUCCGGCCCUGAAUAUGGUACCACAUGCAUUAUAGAGGAGUCUAAGUGGAGUUGUGGAGUAUUGCACGAGUCGAUGUUGUUGGUUUUAAUUACCAUUAGUUGUUGAUGUUGAUAAUGAUGAUAUUUAUAUAUGUUGAUGAAUUAUUAUUAUGAUAGAGUGUUAGAUUCAAUUGAUUCAUUUAUUAUCUAUAUUAUUGUUGUGAAUCUCACCCCUUUUGUUUGAAAAUGUUGUCCUUCCUAUAGGUAACUUGCAGGUGAUCCUGAGUAGUAGGUGGUGGCUCAAGUGUCUAGGGCUCUCAUACGUACGGGAUGGGAUUUUAAUGUUUACUUUCAUUCCUAUGUAUCAAAUUUUGGAACAUGAUGAUGUAGCCCUAUUGUUGUAUAGAUUUCUUUGAUGAGGCUUUUAUACUAGGAUAAUUUUAUGGAGAAUUAAACCGUUGUCGUUGUUGAUUUUAAUGCAAAUAUUCCGCUGCAAAAUUAAUGAUGUUUUGAAGGAUGUUUAAUUAAAUAGUUUUUUAUAUGCUAUUUAAGAAAUUUUGGAUUAGUAGUGUGACAUGCCCGUUUGGGAUUUACUCUGAUGUAUGUUUAUUUAUUAUUUAAAUUGUUUUUGGGUAACGGGGUGUUACACUAGAAGUGUCCAGGUCCCCUCUCACUCUCUUUAUGCAGACGACAUAAUGAUAUUUUGCAAAGGAAAGUUAUCUUCAAUUAAUGCUCUCAUGGACUUUUUCAAUUCUUAUGCUCUGGCUUCAGGCCAAGUUAUCAAUCCCUCCAAGUCUACUAUUUAUUAUGGUUCUAUCUCUAAUGCCAGGCUAGAGCAGAUAACUAAUCUUAUAGGUUUUAAUAAAGGUUCUUUUCCUUUUUCUUACCUUAGAGUUCCAAUUUUUAAAGAGAAACAAAAAAAAUCUCAUUUGCAGCCUAUUGCGGAUAAGAUUAAGUCUAAGCUUGGUGCUUGGAAAGCCUCUCUUUUAUCUAUUGUAGGGAGAGUCACUCUUGUGAAAGCUGUGAUUCAAGGUAUGAUGAUGCACACAAUCUCUUUGUACUCUUGGCCCAAUUCCUUGUUAAAAGAAGUAGAGGCUUGGAUCAGAAAUUUUAUCUGGAGCGGUGACAUUUCUAAAAGGAAGCUGGUUACUGUUUUUUGGAAGAAGGUGUGUAAACCUUUUUCAGAAGGUGGCUUGGGGUUGAGGUCUUUGUAUAUUCUAAACGAAGCAACUAAUUUGAAGAUGUGCUGGGAUCUUAAAAAUUCUAGUGAAGAUUGGGCGAUUCUCCUUCGAAGCAAGGUGUUUAGGGGAAGGAAAGUAAUCUCUCACCAUAUUUUCUCUUCUAUUUGGAGCAGUGUUAAAUCAAAAAUUAGCAACAUCAAUGAAAAUUGCAGCUGGAUCAUAGGUAAUGGAGAGAAUAUUAAAUUUUGGCUUGAUACCUGGAUGGACAAACCUAUUGCAUCUUUGCUUUAAUUUUACUGAUAUUGUUCAUAGCACUUUAACAACUAGGGUCUCCGAAUACAUUCAUAAUUCUCUCUGGCACAUCCCUCAAUCGAUCCUGGAUGCUUACCCCAUUUUGAGUCAACUUGUCAUGCAAAUUACUCUUCCUAGGCAUCCGAAAAAUGAUAAACUUGUCUGGAAAACUAGUUCAACGGGUGAUCUUUCUCUUAAGGAAGCUUUUCUAUUCAAGUAUGGUGCUGGCCAAAAUAUUUCUUGGGCCAAGGAUUUAUGGAGCCCGGAUAUCCCACCUUCAAAAUCUUUGAUGACUUGGAGACUCAUGCACAACAAGCUCCCUGCCGAUGAUAACCUUGCUCUUAAAGGUUGUAACCUCCCCUCAAUGUGUUCAUCCUGUCAGACUUAUGAGGAAACCACUUUUCAUUUAUUCUUUGAAUGCACUUUUGCUUCAAAAAUGUGGUCUUUGCUAGCAUCUCUUCUCAAUAUGUCGUUGAUCUUCAAUUCUCCGAUGGAUAUUUGGGCUAUCUUAGCAAAUAGCUGGACUCCUCAAUGCAAAGUAGUAGUUCAAGCUUGCAUCAUCAAUAUUUUAAACAUCAUAUGGCUUAGGAGGAACAACAUUCGAUUUCAAGGUAAGACGGUUGAUUGGAGAACAGCCAUAAACUUGAUCAUUUCCAAAGUCUCUUUAUCAGGGAACCUUACCACUAAAACUGCUGCUGCUAAUAUGUUAGAAUUCACCAUCUUGAAAGCUUGCAAAGUUAACAUCAAGCCUCCUAGGGCUGCCUUGAUCAAAGAAAUCAUUUGGGCUCCUCCUAUGCAUUCUUGGGUGAAGGUGAACACAGACGGUGCAUCUAUCAAGAAUCCUUCAAGAGCAGCAGCGGGUGGAAUUUUUAGGAACUCCGAGGGUGUUUGUUUAGGUGGAUUCUCUCAAUUUCUUGGUGAUGCUAAUGCUCUUUAUGCUGAACUAAUUGCAGCAAUCAAUGCUAUUAAAAUUGCUGCCUUGAUGGGAUUCUCCAAUGUUUGGUUAGAGUCAGAUUCUCAAUUAGUCAUUCUUGCUUUCAAAUCCAAAUCUGUUGUUCCUUGGAGUUUAAAAAAUAGGUGGGAAAAUUGUAUUCAGUCUACCCAUAGAAUGAGAUUCUGUGAUUCGCAUGUUUACAGGGAAGGAAAUAUCUGUGCGGACAGACUGGCGAAUUUUGGUUUGUCUUUAUAUUCUUCAGAGUUGUUUUGGUUUGAUAGCAUUCCUGACUUUGUUAGGAGGGAGUACAAUAGGAAUAGGUUGGGUAUGCCCAAUUUUCUUUUGAAAAGGUUUUGGUUUGGUUCCCGUUUUCUCUUUAAUGAAAUUAUUAGAUGCUCUUUGCAUCCUUUCAAAAAAAAAAAAAAAUCAUUUCUUUAGUUUAUCAACAAAAUAACACUUCUUUCCCAAUACCACAAAAAAACAUAUAUGCAUAUCAAAAUAAAAUAAAUGUCAUUCUACGGAACAUUUUAUACACACAUCGUAUAAAAUAUAAUUAAACUAAUAACUUUUAUAAAAGGUUAAAUUUUACCAUAUAAAUUCAUAUUUUAGAUUUUUUGUCUUCUUUUCAAAGAAUCUCUACCUCAUAACAUCAUCCUAGUACUUAGUAUGGACGUAUGGGAAAAAACCCUUACCUCGAGAACUUUUCUUCCUAGCCAAACUCUAAACCACCUCAAACUCACAGCUAAAUGUUGUCUCGCACUGCAGGGAUUAUUUUGACGAUCCGAUGAAAAGAGGAUUUACAUGUUGGGAACACGCUGUCCAAUAAUUAGCUCAAUCAGACAGUGAACGAAGCCGUAGUCGCAAUUCUACGAUGACAGGUUUGAAGAAAACAAAAAUGACUUAAAUUAGAAUUUGAUGAAGUGAGACAAGGGAUAAAUUAGAAGAACAUAUAUGAAAAGGACUUGCACGAAAAUUAUUGACAAGAUGAUAGCAUAGGGAUUGAUCGAUGGGGAAAUUAUUUGUAUACAACAUGUAAAUCAAUGGAAUGUUGGAGAUGAAUUCUUACAAAGGCUAUGGAAAAUAAUAAGAGAACAUUGUGAUAAGGAAUGAUGUGUGAUAGAUAUAAGAG
rnacentral:lncRNA from 1 species